UGCUCACCUUUUCGCUUCCGUGUCAUCCUUCGAGGCGGUCGGGAGAACGCCGGGCGCGCCUGCGGGGCCGUGGCGGUGCUUUAUUCGGGAGACAGAUGUUUUAGGCCAAAGAGUGAAGUUUGUGGAGGUGAAGCAUCUUUCUGUGGAGGUGCUGUGUUCACAGAGGACGAGAAAGUGGACAACAGCGCCCUCGUGUGUCUGAAAACUGAAACAACAAAUGAAAGCUCAGACCUGAACCAACCGGAGAGUCUUCUCUGUGAGGAAGUCAUUAAGCGGGUCUCGAGCUGAGCCCGAAGUCCUCUGAUGUCUGAAGGCUUCCCAGAACCACAACCCUGCGUUAAUCACCGGACACUUGAUGCACCCGACGCUCCGUCUCCUGACACAAAUAUGUCGAUGAUGUAACUAAACGUGUGGCUCUCAUUAUUYGCCUAAUGAGCUGUCUCCGAUCUGUCAGCCAACGAAGCGAGCAGGAGAACCGAGGGUGGGCUUCGUGCGGUCCCGGGGUCAACCGAGCGGCGGCUGAGGGGACGAGGGGGCCGGCGUGUGGCACUUAAGAYGGGGAAGGAGCUCGUUAAAGUGUCAUUUUUGGGCAAUAUGCUCGUCGGCGUGGAAGAGGCCAAUCAGCCGUGCCGUUCCCAUCUCAGGAGAACGACUUUCAUCCAUCACUGUCGGCUCUAUGAUGAUAUUAGCAGGUGUUUACUGACGGGCCAUUCACAGGAAGACAGAUGGAGGUUCUAAAGGAGGUUCUGACGAUCUUAUUCACUCAGUCGUUUCACACACGGSCUCAAUCCCAAUGGGCCCACAGAGACGAAGCAGCAGAUCUGGUUGUAAAAGCAAAACAUCAUUUUAGACAAAGAUAUUUAUUCACAGGACUCAACUGCAGAGAAUUAAAAUGUUUUAAGGUCUCAGAGUUCGUAUGAGUGAAGUACAAAACAGGAGGAGUUCUUUCUUUACAAAAAAAUAAUUAAAAAGAGAAACCAACACUGGUCUUAAUCCACAAAUAUUCAGAAAAUGUGAUGAUUUAAAAGGAUUUUUUUCAUUUUUUGGGCUGGAUUUUAUAAAUACACUCAUUUAAAACAAACAAAUAAACAGCUCUAAGGAAAGUUAAGUUCUUCAUUAUUAGAUGAUCAAAACAAAUUUUAACAAAUAUUAAAGAAAWAUCAAAAGUUUGUGAACGGCUCCUUUGCUUCAGUCCUGACAUCGUUUAUUMAAUUUUAUGACCUAAAUAAACACCUUUAUCAUUAGCUUGUUUUAAAAUUCAAAUUAUMCAGAGCUUAAAAAACCAGGAAGAAAUUUCUCAUACGAACUAUUUCUAUUUUUUACAACAAACUCCCUUUGGAUUAUUGUGAAGUUUUAUAAACACCAAUAGGUUAUUUUAGCAGA